CGGACGGGUGAGUAAUGUCUGGGAAACUGCCCGAUGGAGGGGGAUAACUACUGGAAACGGUAGCUAAUACCGCAUAACGUCGCAAGACCAAAGAGGGGACCUUCGGGCCUCUUGCCAUCGGAUGUGCCCAUAUGGGAUUAGCUAGUAGGUGAGGUAACGGCUUACCUAGGCGACGAUCCCUAGCUGGUCUGAGAGGAUGAUCAGCCACACUGGGACUGAGACACGGCCCAG
rnacentral:rRNA from 1 species